ACGGAAGGCAGCAGCUAAGAAUAUUCCGCAAUGGACGAAAGUCUGACGGAGCGACGCCGCGUGGAUGAUGAAGGCCGGAAGGUUGUAAAAUCCUUUUAAGUGUGAAGAAUAGGCGAGGGCAGGGAAAGCCCUUGUGGUGACGGUAGCACUUGAAUAAGCAACGGCUAAUUACGUGCCAGCAGCCGCGGUAACACGUAAGUUGCGAGCGUUGUUCGGAAUUAUUGGGCGUAAAGGGCAUGUAGGCGGUUUUGCAAGCUUGGUGUGAAAUCCCGGGGCUUAACUCCGGAAUUGCGUUGAGAACUGCAUAACUAGAGUCACUGAGGGGCAAUCAGAAUUCCUGGUGUAGGGGUGAAAUCUGUAGAUAUCAGGAAGAAUACCAAUGGCGAAGGCAGGUUACCAGCAGAUGACUGACGCUGAGGUGCGAAGGUGCGGGGAGCAAACAGGAUUAGAUACCCUGGUA
rnacentral:rRNA from 1 species